rnacentral:rRNA from 1 species
CCUACGGGUGGCUGCAGUGAGGAAUAUUGGUCAAUGGGCGAGAGCCUGAACCAGCCAAGUCGCGUGAAGGAUGACGGCCCUACGGGUUGUAAACUUCUAUUGUCAGGGAGAAAUUGGGUCCACGCGUGGGCUUAGCGAGAGUACCUGAAGAAAAAGCAUCGGCUAACUCCGUGCUAGCAGCCGCGGUAAUACGGAGGAUGCGAGCGUGAUCCGGAUUUAUUGGGUUUAGAGGGAGCGUAGGCGGAAUAACCAGUCAGCGGUAAAAAUUCGGUGCUCACCCCCGUCGUUACGUUGAAACUGAUGUUCUUGAGUGGGCGAGAAGUAUGCGGAAUGCGUGGUGUAGCGGUGAAAUGCAUAGAUAUCACGCAGAACUCCGAUUGCGAAGGCAGCAUACCGGCGCCCAACUGACGCUGAAGCACGAAAGCGUGGGUAUCGAACAGGAUUAGAUACCCCUGUAGUC